rnacentral:rRNA from 1 species
UACGUAGGGUGCAAGCGUUAAUCGGAAUUACUGGGCGUAAAGGGCUCGUAGGCGGCCAACUAAGUCAGACGUGAAAUCCCUCGGCUUAACCGGGGAACUGCGUCUGAUACUGGAUGGCUAGAGGUUGGGAGAGGGAUGCGGAAUUCCAGGUGUAGCGGUGAAAUGCGUAGAUAUCUGGAGGAACACCGGUGGCGAAGGCGGCAUCCUGGACCAAUUCUGACGCUGAGGAGCGAAAGCCAGGGGAGCAAACGGG